UUCUCAUUUUUCUACUGCUCGUGGUAAGUGGCUUCGUGGUCUUUAUAGCUGUUACUCUUUUGUACUUUGUCUUUUUCUUUUAUUUUCUUUUGAGCGAUUGUGCGAACAUAGCAUAGCACGCACUAUGCCUUCUGUGUUGUAGCUGCCUGGCCAGGGCGACUGGCGGAUAAGGUCUUGUGCGUGGCCUCGAGGCUUAAAAGUAGCAGUGGGGCUUUGUGAAGGACAAAAUGGCGAUGGCGGGCCGUGAUUUACGCGCACGUUGGAACCGAAGAGAGCUCUGUUGUUGCAAUGUUCAGCCCACAAGAGCUUACUGGUGAAGGAAUGGGACAAGACCCAUCUUUAUGCAAAGCCAGCGUUACAGUAAUGUUCCAGCAUCUCAUAAUCUAUCCUGGGGAAUUCAGCUGCCUCCCAGGGUGAAUACAGGUAUUCCUGAUGACAGUCUGCCUCUAUCUUACAGAGCAGCUUGUUGCUAUAUACCAUUGAAAAGCCUUCAGAGCUGAGAGGUACUACUAACCAAUAACCUGCUUGGCUCAAAGGGCCAGCACCUUCUCUCUAAAGCCCAAGAGGAGUUUGAGGAAAACUAGGUGUCUGUGUUCACUCCAGGCUGAAGUUACAGGUCUGAGCAAAUAAGGUGUAUAAAAAAUGGAAUCUGUCUUGGAGGACAUCAGAAGGUGAAUUUUCCAAGUUCUUGGACAACCUAGCUGUUGAAAAGCUUUCUGGGUUUGGGGGGUAUUUCAGAUGUACCUUAAAGUGUUAGCAGACACAGAUUAAGACACUGGGAGCCAAUGAAACAGCAGUUGAGGGUUUGCUGUGUAUCACAUUUCUGUAUUUUAUCACCCCCUUCCUGCAACAUUAUUUAUCUGGAAUCUACCUGCCCUUUUGUUUUUUAGAUACAAGGGCUUGGUUUUGUUACCCAGGCUGGUUUCAAGGCCAUAGCUUUAAGAGAUCCUCUCACCACAGAUUUCCAAAGUGCUGGGAUUGCAGGUGUGAUUCAUGGCACCCAGACUUUGCUGCCUUUCUUACAUGAUCCAGGCCCAGAACCCAAACUCAGGCACUGUAUAGAUGACCACUUUCGUAAACUACUGACCUAGCUUGUUGCCAAUUGUUGAUUGAACUUCCCAUAACUCCACUUCGUGUCUGUUCCUCUGUAUACAGCCACCUUCUGUUCCCGUCAUGAGCCUUUAGGUCUCCAUUUGCAUAUUGCAAAUACUAUGUUCCAUGUAGGUAGCUCAUUCAGGGCCUUGCUCUUCACUUCAAAAAAGGUUCCCUUGAGGACUGGCUGUCAAUUUGUGUUGCUGUGUUGGUUGUUGAUGAAAAUAAUAAAAUGAUUGAUUACAU
rnacentral:lncRNA from 1 species